rnacentral:lncRNA from 1 species
AUCUGAUCCCAUGUCGUAGCUAAUAGCUUUUAUUCCCCUGUAAGACCUCCAUUAUUUUGUCCGUCCGUCAUGAUAUGAAAGGGAGGGGACCUCGUAUAUGAUCGUAUAUGUAGCUGGAAGAAAAAUCGUGUAUAGUUAUAACAUGUUUAUUAUGUUACAAUAAACCUGUAAAAAGGUACAUUAUUUGUUUUUAAAUGGAAUAACAAGUGCUCCCGGACUAUUUAAUUAUGGCCAAAUUCGACGUUACGUGUUUUUCGUCACAUAGAUUAAAUCACAGGGCUUA